GGGGAAUUUUGGACAAUGGGCGAAAGCCUGAUCCAGCAAUGCCGCGUGCAGGAUGAAGGCCUUCGGGUUGUAAACUGCUUUUGUACGGAACGAAAAAGCUCCUUCUAAUACAGGGGGCCCAUGACGGUACCGUAAGAAUAAGCACCGGCUAACUACGUGCCAGCAGCCGCGGUAAUACGUAGGGUGCGAGCGUUAAUCGGAAUUACUGGGCGUAAAGCGUGCGCAGGCGGAUCGUUAAGUCAGAGGUGAAAUCCCAGGGCUCAACCCUGGAACUGCCUUUGAUACUGGCGAUCUUGAGUAUGAGAGAGGUAUGUGGAACUCCGAGUGUAGAGGUGAAAUUCGUAGAUAUUCGGAAGAACACCAGUGGCGAAGGCGACAUACUGGCUCAUUACUGACGCUGAGGCGCGAAAGCGUGGGGAGCAAACA
rnacentral:rRNA from 1 species